CCUACUGGUGGCAGCAGUGAGGAAUAUUGGUCAAUGGACGAAAGCCUGAACCAGCCAAGUAGCGUGAAGGAUGACUGCCCUAUGGGUUGUAAACUUCUUUUAUAAGGGAAUAAAACGAGGCACGUGUGCCUUUUUGCAUGUACUUUAUGAAUAAGGAUCGGCUAACUCCGUGCCAGCAGCCGCGGUAAUACGGAGGAUCCGAGCGUUAUCCGGAUUUAUUGGGUUUAAAGGGAGCGUAGAUGGGUUGUUAAGUCAGUUGUGAAAGUUUGCGGCUCAACCGUAAAAUUGCAAUUGAUACUGGCAGGCUUGAGUACAGUUGAGGUAGGCGGAAUGCGUGGUGUAGCGGUGAAAUGCUUAGAUAUCACGAAGAACCCCGAUUGCGAAGGCAGCUUACUAAGCCAUAACUGACACUGAAGCACGAAAGCGUGGGGAUCAAACAGGAUUAGAUACCCCAGUAGUC
rnacentral:rRNA from 1 species